CGACUUUUUUCCAACAUAUGAGAUCCUUGGCUCUCUUCCAACCUGAUACAAAGUUUUGAAGAUGCAAUUUGGGCUAAAUCGUUGACAAGGUCAUGCAUUAAGAAUUUCUCGAUGUUCCCUUCGGAAGGAUUUGGGACCCUUUCGAAUAAUGAUCUUGAUCUCAACUCCAGAAAAUAUUGGUUGCCUGAAUCUUCAAUUAUUUCAUCUUCCUGUGGUACGAGACCAUUGGCAAUCCACAGAUGAAUAACUUGUUCUUUCCUAAAUGGAUAAUCUUUAGGAAAUAUUGCACAAUAGGAAAAACAUCGCUUUAAAUGUGCUGGAAGAUCAUUGUAGCUCAA